GAUGUAUAUUGCGAUGUAAUUUGUUCACCCUUUAUUUUGUAUAGCGAUUCCAUUUAAUAAAUUGUUAAGUUCAUAUAGCGUUAAAUCAUAAUGAAGUAACUCUUUAUAAUAUUAAGCUAAUGAAGUUGUUACACAAAUUAUUUUUCAACAAACACCAUAGACAUUAGUGGGAAUAUGACCUGACAAUUUGAGCUGCUCUAUCAGGAUGAGCUAACAGGGGGUAAACCUUUCUGUCAGGAAGGAAACAUCAAUCAAAACGGAACAACUGUGUUUCAAAAUAAGGCCUGCAUGGAAACCCAGCAGAGUUAAUGGUCAAGGCCCUGCCAGUUGCCAGACACCGUAUCUUUACAAUCUACUUGCAACUGCAUUUAAAGUUUCUUAGCAAAAAUUGUAUUUCAAUUCUACUUCAUAGUUCUGCUUUUUGUAGCUCCUGGCUGUAUGUUGAAAUCCCUUAACAUGCAUCUUUGCUACCUUGUCUUUCUUGCUGUAAUUCUCUCUGCCUUGUAAUUACUAUUAAUUACUACAGCUGUCUACUCUGUACAUGUGACAUUAGAGCAAAUCUGUCUGUCCUGGAAGAGGGAUCCCUCCUAUGUUGCUCUCCUUCUCUCCAAAGCUUUAAAGACAAUGAGAUAUUAAUUUGUAGCCAUGUUGCCCAGCUCUGCCACUCACAUUUCACUGUUCUGAAUUAGAAAUAGAAAUACUCUGAAGUAUGCACACAUACACUAUGGGCCAGGAUGUGUUUUGUGCUUGUUUAAAGGUGAAUUCAGUUCACUUGAGUAAUUUGACAAAAAUAAUUAAACAUAAUAUGUAUUUACACAAAUUCAUGACAAAAAGGUAAUGUAAAAGAAUUCAAUUUAUUUUUUAGCUGUCCCUGAUCUUUAACCUCCCUUUAAUAAUCCUUGUACACAGACAUAAACACACAAACUUAAUUUGAGUCUGAAAUGAAGCAGUUUAUAUGGAAGCAAAUGCUGUAGAGGAUGUACACUGGCAACACAAAUAAAUAGGUAAGAAAACUUGGUAGGAAAACAAGUGAACAGGCAAAACACAAUCUCUUGGCUAGUUUGGUGAUUUCAGCAUAAUGAAAGACAACCGUUGUUCCCUCAGUGUCCUCAGCGAGGACACUGAUGUAAGUAGACGUUC